rnacentral:lncRNA from 1 species
AUGGCCAAGCAUGCCCGAGACCCGGCACUGGUGUGUAAGAAGCUGUUUUCCAUUGGCAAUGGCAUCGACAAGGCUUCGAAAUGUAAUGUUAUUAAAGGUGCCUCAGCUUCUGCUGUAGCAUCAAAGCAUGUGUCAAAUACUCCAAUGGCAGUAAAUGGACCUUUCACAUGCUUCACAAACUCAUCUCGGAUUGCCUUGUAAAUGGGCUGGACGAAUCGGGUUACAACCGUACCCGAAUCUAUUAUGGUCCCUGCCCCGGUGUUGGGGUUAAACGCUAGGUAUUCCGGGGCAAUGGGGACUUGAACCCGGCCUACACUUAUUCAGGUUAGGUUAACAUAGUAAAGUGAAGGUCGGUGUGGGCUUUUUAGGAGUGGGGUGGUUCGAAUGUUCUUGGGUUGUCCAACUGGCCCGAGUUUGAGAGAACCCGAAAAGUAGUAGGACUUGAAACUGGGUAGACAAUA